CUACACAAUGCCUGAUUUAGGGUGGAACUUGUCUGCAGUGGCUGACAAAAGAGAACCCCCAGCUAAAGCAUUGUGUUAAGGUUCUGAUUAUUUACCAUUCAUGGCCGCUCAUCUGUUAAUACCUACAACAAUAUUAAAGAAAUUGAGCCUGCAUUGGAGAUGAG